GCUGGGACUACAGGCGCCCGCCACUACGCCCGGCUAACUUUGUGUAUUUUUCGUAGAGACGGGGUUUCACCGUGGUCUUGAUCUCCUGACCUCGUGAUCCGCCUGCCUCGGCCUCCCAAAGUGCUGGGAUUACAGGCGUGAGCCACCGCGCCCGGCCUGGAAAACUCGAUCUUAUUACUUUUUUUUGUUGAUAAUUAUCAAAUACAGGCCUAUUUCCUUCAGGGAAACUGGACAUUAAAAUCUGAACUUAUAGGUUUAAGAAUUCUGUUUUCCAUAAGCACUCAAAUAUUUUUUCAAAAACUUUAAAAGCAAAGCACAACUUGUGCUCUGCCACUGCCAAAAAGGAUUUGAAGCAGCAUUAAAGAAUACUUAUAUAAGAGUAAUUCUGAAAGUGGGGGUGACAGACAGAAUAACAGAGUUCAGUGAUGCAGAGUUUUGCUGUUCUGAUUUGCUAUAGGGCAGUGCUUAGAGAAAACAGAGAAGGGAAUGGAACAUAGGUUUAUUAACCAGUGGUCUCUAAAGUGUGGUAGCACAGCAGGGUGUGGUGGCUCAACACCUGUAAUCCAAGCACUUUGGGAGGCUGAGGCAGGAGGAUUGCUUAAGAGCAGGAGUUUGAGACCAGCCUGGGAAAUCUAGUCAGACGGCGUCUCUACUGAAAAUGAAAAAAAUUAGCCAGGAAUGGUGGUGUGUAUCUGUAGUCCCAGCUACUCAGGAGGUAGAGGUGGAAGAAUUGCUUGAGCCUGGGAGGUUGAGGCUGUGGUGAGCUGUGAUUGCACCACUGCAGUCCAGCCUCGGCAACAGAGCAAGACCCUGUCUUAAACAAAAAAAGAAGUGGUAGCACAAGAUGAUCCAUUGCAACGAAGGGCCAAAGUGUUAGAGUUAUGUUGAGCUUAUAACCUUAGAGACAUAAUAAGUGGACUUUCACCAGUGCCCUCAGUCUGGGUCAGACGGGAAGAGUGAAGUGGGACACUCAAAUGUUAGAAGUAAUUAAUCCUAGCACUUUGGGAGGCCAAAGUGG
rnacentral:lncRNA from 1 species